rnacentral:rRNA from 1 species
GAUGAACGCUAGCUACAGGCUUAACACAUGCAAGUCGAGGGGAAACGAUAUUGGAAGCUUGCUUCCGAUAGGCGUCGACCGGCGCACGGGUGAGUAACGCGUAUCCAACCUGCCCAUCACUUGGGGAUAACCUUGCGAAAGUAAGACUAAUACCCAAUGACGUCUCUAGAAGACAUCUGAAAGAGAUUAAAGAUUUAUCGGUGAUGGAUGGGGAUGCGUCUGAUUAGCUUGUUGGCGGGGUAACGGCCCACCAAGGCGACGAUCAGUAGGGGUUCUGAGAGGAAGGUCCCCCACAUUGGAACUGAGACACGGUCCAAACUCCUACGGGAGGCAGCAGUGAGGAAUAUUGGUCAAUGGACGAGAGUCUGAACCAGCCAAGUAGCGUGCAGGAAGACGGCCCUAUGGGUUGUAAACUGCUUUUAUAAGGGAAUAAAGUGAGUCUCGUGAGACUUUUUGCAUGUACCUUAUGAAUAAGGAUCGGCUAACUCCGUGCCAGCAGCCG